rnacentral:rRNA from 1 species
GACGAACGCUGGCGGCGUGCCUAAUACAUGCAAGUAGAACGCAGUUGCGAACGGGUGAGUAACGCGUAGGUAACUGCCUCAUAGCGGUGGAUAACUAUUGGAAACGUUAGCUAAUACCGCAUACUGUGAGAUGGACCUGCGUUGUAUUAGCUAGUUGGUGAGGUAAAGACUCACCAGGGCGACGAUACAUAGCCGACCUGAGAGGUUGAUCGGCAAAACUGGGACUGAGACACGACCAAGAUUACUACGGGAGGAAGAAGUAGGGAAUCGUCGGCAAUGGACGGAAGGCUGACCGAGAAACGCCGGGUGAGGGAAGAAGGUUUUCGGAUCGUAAAGCUCUGGUGUUAGAGAAGCGGGAACUAACCAGAAAGGGACGGCUAACUACGUGCCAGCAGCCGCGGUAAUUC